rnacentral:rRNA from 1 species
UACAGGGGGGGCAAGCGUUGUUCGGAAUUACUGGGCGUAAAGGGCUCGUAGGCGGCCAACUAAGUCACACGUGAAAUCCCCAGGCUUAACCUGGGAACUGCGUGUGAUACUGGAUGGCUUGAAUCCGGGAGAGGGAUGCGGAAUUCCAGGUGUAGCGGUGAAAUGCGUAGAUAUCAGGAGGAACACCUGUGGUGUAGACGGCUUUCUGGACCAUAGCUGACGCUGAGACACGAAAGCGUGGGUAGCAAACAGG